rnacentral:rRNA from 1 species
AUUAUCUUACUCUAUUGCAAUGAGGCAUGUUUAAUAACCUGUUCGAGCAACCAGUGAAGGGCAAGCCUGGUGCCAGCAGCCGCGGUAAUUCCAGCUUCACGAGUGUAUAUUUAAGUUGUUGCAGUUAAAAAGCUCGUAGUUGAACUUCUUUUUGUUCAGAAGGCGUGCAAGCGCAGUCUGGGCGAAAAUCCGCCUGAAAAAUCAUUCGGGUCUUCACUGAUUCAGUGAUGGAUCAGGCAUUUUACUUUGAAAAAAUUAGAGUGUUCAAAGCAGGCUCACGCCUGAAUACAUUAGCAUGGAAUAAUAGAAUAGGACGCUGUUCAAUUUGUUGGUUAUUGAAUUGCGUAAUGAUUAAUAGGGACAGUUGGGGGCAUUUGUAUUUAAUUGUCAGAGGUGAAAUUCUUGGAUUUAUUAAAGACAAACUUAUGCGAAAGCAUUUGCCAAGGAUGUUUUCAUUAAUCAAGAACGAAAGUUAGAGGAUUAAAGACGAUCAGAUACCGUCCUAGUUUUAACUAUAAACUAUGCCGACUCGGUCUCAGUCAAGUCUUCCUAACUUGAUUGGUGCCGUAUGAGAAAUCAAAGUCUUUGGGUUCCGGGGGGAGUAUGGUCGCAAGGUUGAAACUUAAAGGAAUAGACGGAACAUCACUACCAGGUGUGGAUCCUGCGGCUUAAUUUGACCCAACACGGGGAAACUUACCAGCGCAAAACAAGGGUGGGAUUGACAGAUUGAGAGCUCUUUCUUGAUUCUUUGGAUAGUGGUGCAUGGCCGUUCUUAGUUGGUGGAGUGAUUUGUCUGCUUAAUUGCGUUAACGAACGAGACCUCAACCUACUUACUAGACGCGUGAUUAAUUCAUCGCGUGUUCUUCUUAGAGGGACUGUGCGGAGACAAACGCAAGGAAGUUUGAGGCAAUAACAGGUCUGUGAUGCCCUUAGAUGUGCUGGGCCGCACGCGGGAUACAAUGACCCGUUCAGAAAGUAUAACCUGACCCGGAAGGGAGUGGGUAAUCUUUUUAAUGCGGGUCGUGCUAGGGAUCGAUCUUUGCAAUUAUAGAUCUUGAACGAGGAAUACCUAGUAAGUGCAAGUCAUCAGCUUGUACUGAUUACGUCCCUGGUGUUUGUACUCACCGCCCGUCGCUCCUACCAAUUUCGAAUGAUCCGGUGAACCUUUUGGA